rnacentral:miRNA from 1 species
CUUACUCCACGCCAGAAAGU